rnacentral:rRNA from 1 species
AAUGAACGUUGGCGGCGUGGAUUAGGCAUGCAAGUCGAACGCCCCGCAAGGGGAGUGGCGCAAGGGUGAGUAAGGCGACGGUAACCAACCCCGCGAUCGGGGAUAGCCGAGGGAAACCUCGGGUAAUACCCGGCAAUGUUGAGAGAUGGCAUCAUCCUUCAACCAAAGUUCAGGCGUCGUGGGACGGGCCGUUGUGGUAUUAGCUAGUUGGUGAGGUAACGGCUCACCAAGGCGGCGAUGCCUACCGGGUGUGCGAGCAUGACCCGGCACACUGGGACUGAGACACUGCCCAGACUCCUACGGGAGGCUGCAGUCGAGAAUCUUCGGCAAUGGGCGCAAGCCUGACCGAGCGACGCCGCGUGGAGGACGAAGGCCUUCGGGUUGUAAACUCCUGUCGAGGGGAAGGAAGGCACCGCAAGGUGCUUGACCGCUCCCUGGAGGAAGGACGGGCUAAGUUCGUGCCAGCAGCCGCCGUA